AAUUAUGUAAGAUGAAUACACUUUGUUCUGUGGAAAUUAUAUCAAUAUUUAUCUUACGUAUUUGAAUAUUUUGCUGAUCAUAGGAUAUUACCAUUGUUCUGUAGAAAUUAUAUUAAUGCCAUUUUUCUUUCAAAAAAGGAUAUUAAUAUUACGUUUUUGAUAUUACGUAAGAUAGUAAUAUUUCUUUCAAAAAAGAUAUUAAUAUUGGUGCUAUAUUUAUCUUACGUAUUUGAUAUUUUGCUGCUCAUAGGUUGAGAAUAA
rnacentral:lncRNA from 1 species